rnacentral:rRNA from 1 species
UGCAGGCUGAAACUCGCCUGCACGAAGUUGGAAUUGCUAGUAAUCGCGGAUCAGCAUGCCGCGGUGAAUACGUUCCCGGGUCUUGUACACACCGCCCGUCACACCAUGGGAGCUGGUAACACCCGAAGUCAGUAGUCUAACCGCAAGGAGGACGCUGCCGAAGGUGGGAUUAGCGACUGGGGUGAAGUCGUAACAAGGUAAC